AGAUUGAACGCUGGCGGCAGGCCUAACACAUGCAAGUCGAGCGGUAGAGAGGUGCUUGCAUCUCUUGAGAGCGGCGGACGGGUGAGUAAUGCCUAGGAAUCUGCCUAGUGGUGGGGGAUAACGUUCGGAAACGGACGCUAAUACCGCAUACGUCCUACGGGAGAAAGCGGGGGACCUUCGGGCCUCGCGCCAUUAGAUGAGCCCAGGUCGGAUUAGCUAGUUGGUGAGGUAAUGGCUCACCAAGGCGACGAUCCGUAACUGGUCUGAGAGGAUGAUCAGUCACACUGGAACUGAGACACGGUCCAGACU
rnacentral:rRNA from 1 species